UAAUGUAACAAGGUUUCCGUAGGUGAACCUGCGGAAGGAUC
rnacentral:rRNA from 1 species